UCUGUGAUUGAAUUUAAAUCAGAAAAAAUGUUUACUAAAUUUUGGUAAAAUACAUAUGGUAUCUUUUACAUUUCUGUCCUGUUUGUCUGUCAAUUGUUGCUUUACUUCCUUUGUAAAAUGAGGUUAAUUUGUGUAUCACUGAAUAUUGUAUGCUUUUUUUCAGGAUCAGCUAAGAUGUUGUUUCACUGGAUUAUUUAAUUGGGCAUAUAAUUGGAUAAUUCUGUCCUCAACCUGGAAGAUAUGUUUUAUUCCUAACCAUCUAUAAUCCAUUCUCUAUGAAGUUCAGCCUGUCUGCCCAAAUUCCUUUGGAAAUACAUAGUUAGUCAACCAACAUAGAAACAAUCAAACUUGAAGUCCUCAACCUGGAAGAUAUGUUUUAUUCCUAACCAUCUAUAAUCCAUUCUCUAUGAAGUUCAGCCUGUCUGCCCAAAUUCCUUUGGAAAUACAUAGUUAGUCAACCAACAUAGAAACAAUCAAACUUGAAGUCCUCAACCUGGAAGAUAUGUUUUAUUCCUAACCAUCUAUAAUCCAUUCUCUAUGAAGUUCAGCCUGUCUGCCCAAAUUCCUUUGGAAAUACAUAGUUAGUCAACCAACAUAGAAACAAUCAAACUUGAAGUCCUCAACCUGGAAGAUAUGUUUUAUUCCUAACCAUCUAUAAUCCAUUCUCUAUGAAGUUCAGCCUGUCUGCCCAAAUUCCUUUGGAAAUACAUAGUUAGUCAACCAACAUAGAAACAAUCAAACUUGAAGUCCUCAACCUGGAAGAUAUGUUUUAUUCCUAACCAUCUAUAAUCCAUUCUCUAUGAAGUUCAGCCUGUCUGCCCAAAUUCCUUUGGAAAUACAUAGUUAGUCAACCAACAUAGAAACAAUCAAACUUGAAGUCCUCAACCUGGAAGAUAUGUUUUAUUCCUAACCAUCUAUAAUCCAUUCUCUAUGAAGUUCAGCCUGUCUGCCCAAAUUCCUUUGGAAAUACAUAGUUAGUCAACCAACAUAGAAACAAUCAAACUUGAAGUCCUCAACCUGGAAGAUAUGUUUUAUUCCUAACCAUCUAUAAUCCAUUCUCUAUGAAGUUCAGCCUGUCUGCCCAAAUUCCUUUGGAAAUACAUAGUUAGUCAACCAACAUAGAAACAAUCAAACUUGAAGUCCUCAACCUGGAAGAUAUGUUUUAUUCCUAACCAUCUAUAAUCCAUUCUCUAUGAAGUUCAGCCUGUCUGCCCAAAUUCCUUUGGAAAUACAUAGUUAGUCAACCAACAUAGAAACAAUCAAACUUGAAGUCCUCAACCUGGAAGAUAUGUUUUAUUCCUAACCAUCUAUAAUCCAUUCUCUAUGAAGUUCAGCCUGUCUGCCCAAAUUCCUUUGGAAAUACAUAGUUAGUCAACCAACAUAGAAACAAUCAAACUUGAAGUCCUCAACCUGGAAGAUAUGUUUUAUUCCUAACCAUCUAUAAUCCAUUCUCUAUGAAGUUCAGCCUGUCUGCCCAAAUUCCUUUGGAAAUACAUAGUUAGUCAACCAACAUAGAAACAAUCAAACUUGAAGUCCUCAACCUGGAAGAUAUGUUUUAUUCCUAACCAUCUAUAAUCCAUUCUCUAUGAAGUUCAGCCUGUCUGCCCAAAUUCCUUUGGAAAUACAUAGUUAGUCAACCAACAUAGAAACAAUCAAACUUGAAGUCCUCAACCUGGAAGAUAUGUUUUAUUCCUAACCAUCUAUAAUCCAUUCUCUAUGAAGUUCAGCCUGUCUGCCCAAAUUCCUUUGGAAAUACAUAGUUAGUCAACCAACAUAGAAACAAUCAAACUUGAAGUCAUCAACAUGGAAGAUAUGUUUUGUUCCUAUAACCAUCUGUAAUCAAUUCUCUAUGAAGUUCAGACUGUCUGCUCUUCCUUUGGAAAUACACAGUUAGUUAAUCAACAUAGAAACACACAAACUUGAAGG